AUUGAACGCUGGCGGCAGGCCUAACACAUGCAAGUCGAACGAGUGGCGGACGGGUGAGUAAUGUCUGGGAAACUGCCUGAUGGAGGGGGAUAACUACUGGAAACGGUAGCUAAUACCGCAUACCAUCGGAUGUGCCCAGAUGGGAUGAGCUAGUAGGUGGGGUAAAGGCUCACCAAGGCGACGAUCCCUAGCUGGUCUGAGAGGAUGACCAGCCACACUGGAAAUGAGACACGUUCCAGACUCCUACGGGAGGCGGCAGUGGGGAAUAUUGCACAAUGGGCGCAAGCCUGAUGCAGCCAUGCCGCGUGUUUGAAGAAGGCCUUCGGGUUGUAAAGCACUUUCAGCGGGGAGGCGUUACUCGAAGAAGAAGCACCGGCUAACUCCGUGCCAGCAGCCGCGGUAAUAC
rnacentral:rRNA from 1 species